ensembl:misc_RNA Metazoa_SRP Metazoan signal recognition particle RNA
GCCGGGCGCGGUGGCGCGUGCCUGUGGUCCCAGCUACACGGGAGGCAGAGGUGGGAGGAUCGCGUGAACCCAGAAGUUCUGGGCUGUAGUGCGCUGUGCCGAUCGGGUGUCUGCAUUAAGUUCGGCAUCAAUAUGGUGACCUCCUGGGAGCGGGGGACCCCCAGGUUGCCUAAGGCAGGGUGAACCGGCCCAGGUCAGAAACCGAGCAGGUCAAAACUCCCUGCUGAUCGGUAGCCACCGCACUCCAGCCUGGGCAAGACAGCGAGACCCCAUUGCAA